AACUCACCGUGUGGGCUAGCCAAUGGGAGAUGGAGCAGUGGUUGCCACAUAGGCCUUUGCAGAAGGGCGUGUUGUCUCUAUUUAAACCGUUGGCUUUGCACGGAUUACACAGACCCAUCCUACCUGUAGAGGACAUUGUUACUGCGCAGCCUUCACCAGAACUCUUUCAACAUGGAAGCGAAAUCCCCUAAGGUCAAUGCUGAGGUCGAGCAUUUUGACAAGUGUAAACUAAGAAAGACUACAACAGAGGAAAAAAACUUUAUUCCAACCAAGAAAGACAUUGAAGAUGAGAAGAGAGAAAAUGAAAAACAAAAUGUGAAGAAGUAACCAAAUCAUGCCUGCCAUGAUUCCUCUUCUCCACGCCUGCCACCUUACGUGCCAUUACACCAGUCAGGAAGCCUGCCCAUCAUCUCCGCCUCUGCCUCUGUUUUCCACGAUGCCGUGUUUGAUUAUAAAUGGUGUUUGGGUUGAUGCUACGGGAAGAAAAUCGGUAUUUGAUCCCAAAGUAAAUUAAUUCAAUUGAUGUAUUUUCCGGGCUUUUUUCCUUGCAAUGAUGUAAAAGAGAGUAAUGAAGAUAUGACAGGGUGUAGCUUAAAUCCAACCAACAUGAACAACUGUAUCAAUGGAAAUCCUGCUGUGUUAUCAAUACACUUGAUACUGCUAAAUCGUGCCAUUAAAGAAAAUAAAAAAAUCAA